GUUUUAAUAGUUUAAAAUAAAACUCUGGUCUUGUAAACCAGGAAUGAGAAAUUUCUCUUAAAACU
rnacentral:tRNA from 1 species